rnacentral:rRNA from 1 species
CAGCCGCCGCGGGAAUACGAAGGGGGCUAGCGUUGUUCGGAAUUACUGGGCGUAAAGCGCACGUAGGCGGAUAUUUAAGUCAGGGGUGAAAUCCCAGAGCUCAACUCUGGAACUGCCUUUGAUACUGGGUAUCUUGAGUAUGGAAGAGGUGAGUGGAAUUCCGAGUGUAGAGGUGAAAUUCGUAGAUAUCCGGAGGAACACCAGUGGCGAAGGCGGCUCACUGGUCCAUUACUGACGCUGAGGUGCGAAAGCGUGGGGAGCAAACAGGAUUAGAUACCCGUGUAGUCCCUGUCUCUUAUAC